rnacentral:rRNA from 1 species
AGUGUAGGUGGCCAGGCAAGUCAGAAGUGAAAGCCCGGGGCUCAACCCCGGGACUGCUUUUGAAACUGCAGGGCUAGAGUGCAGGAGGGGCAAGUGGAAUUCCUAGUGUAGCGGUGAAAUGCGUAGAUAUUAGGAGGAACACCAGUGGCGAAGGCGGCCUACUGGGCACCAACUGACGCUGAGGCUCGAAAGUGUGGGUAGCAAAC